rnacentral:rRNA from 1 species
UACGUAGGGUGCGAGCGUUAAUCGGAAUUACUGGGCGUAAAGCGUGCGCAGGCGGCUUUGCAAGACAGAUGUGAAAUCCCCGGGCUCAACCUGGGAACUGCAUUUGUGACUGCAAGGCUAGAGUACGGCAGAGGGGGAUGGAAUUCCGCGUGUAGCAGUUAAAUGCGUAGAUAUGCGGAGGAACACCAAUGGCGAAGGCAAUCCCCUGGGCCUGUACUGACGCUCAUGCACGAAAGCGUGGGGAGCAAACAGG